rnacentral:lncRNA from 1 species
AUGAGGUUGGAGGCAUGCAGGGUUCCUUCCAGGUGUAUAAAGGGGGCCUCAUCUGCCUUGUGUGAAGAGGCAAACUGUAGCAGCAAUAUCUCCUCUCCACUCACAGCAAUAUCUCCUGUCUUCCCAUGUUCUCCAAGGUUGUGGUGGAGGUGGUGGGCAUGCAGAGAGACAAACAAGAGAAGAGGAAUAAUGGAGUUCUUCUGCUUCCAAGCCUGCGCAUUGUGGCUUCAAGGUGCUGGAAAAAGGUCACAGGAGCACAUUUGGCUUCCAAAGAAGUUCCCAGCUGUAAUAAGAAUCCAUGAAACUCAAAACUUUUCACCAGUUUCUAAGGAACAUGCUUCUGAUAAACAGAAAACUGUUACCUGUCUUAAGCCAUAUGCAAUCAUAUGACCAAUCUACAAUUUCAGAUGUGCUUAGCAUUCUUACCUUCUGAUUAUCUUUGGUGUUGCUUUCAUGGCUUAAUGUAUGUUUGAAGAAGGCAAAGGAGAGAGGGGGAAUGAGGAUGAAAAUCAUUGUUUGAAUAAAGAAGCCUUGGUAUACUAAAGAGAAAAAUAU